GGCCUGCCCCGCGCCUGGCGUGCGACUCUGCACCAGCGCCAGCGUUGUACCUUUGUGAGGGCGGAGCUGCAUUCUCCUCAGCCCAGACAUUGAGAGCAUCACGAGGGCGGAGCUGUGUUCUCCUCUGCACAGACCUCGGGGGUACCGUGAAGACAGAGCAGCGUUCUACUCUGCCCAGACUCUGGCGUGGGGAGCCCCGCGAGGGCGGAGCUGCGUUGUGCUCAGCACGGACGUUGGCGGCACCGCCUCGCUUUGGGACAACUCGGGGCCGCAUCCACAGUGAAUAAAAUCCUUCCUGUUUCUAGCCCUGAAUAACGAAGGUUUCUCUGGAACUCCUGACAUCAAGUAAUCCACCUGCCUCUGCCUUCCAAAGUGCUGGGAUUACUGGCAUGAGCCACUGUACCCAGCCUUCACUUUCUUCUCUGUGUCAGAGAUCUCUAGCAAGAUACCUUUUCAGAACUUUUAUUGCAACGGAAGUAUUUCAGAACUUUGUCAGGUUAAACUGUUAAGGAUUUCAGAAGAGAGCCUGGUGUCACUUACAGCAGACAUUGCAGAUGCCUCAGCAUUUCGGAUGAAGACGGUGCAGGUGGAGCUGUGCCGUCCUGCACUGAAGCCCUGCAGUCCUGACUUCUGAGUGGAGCUAGAGGAGAAUUAUAUUAAUGUGUUUGCACUACUUGCUCAAUUGUAAAGCAUAACAAAUAUAUUUAAGGCAUGUUUUUUUAAAUGAGAAUAAAAUAGUUUAACAAUGUUUAUACACCUA